UACGAAGGGGGCUAGCGUUGCUCGGAAUCACUGGGCGUAAAGGGUGCGUAGGCGGGUCUUUAAGUCAGGGGUGAAAUCCUGGAGCUCAACUCCAGAACUGCCCUUUGAUAUCUGAACGUAGUACGUUGAAGGUUUCCGGGAUCGGAAGGGUUCCGGGGAAGGUAGGGUGAAAGCUUGGGAACCGAUGGUCGGUAAGGUAGGGUUGAAAAGAUUCGGUUAAAAUG
rnacentral:rRNA from 1 species